GACGAACGCUGGCGGCGUGCUUAACACAUGCAAGUCGAACGGAAAGGCCCUGCUUGCAGGGUACUCGAGUGGCGAACGGGUGAGUAACACGUGGGUGAUCUGCCCUGCACUUCGGGAUAAGCCUGGGAAACUGGGUCUAAUACCGGAUAGGAGCCAUUUUUAGUGUGAUGGUUGGAAAGUUUUUUCGGUGUAGGAUGAGCUCGCGGCCUUUCAGCUUGUUGGUGGGGUAAUGGCCUACCAAGGCGGCGACGGGUAGCCGGCCUGAGAGGGUGGACGGCCACAUUGGGACUGAGAUACGGCCCAGACUCCGACGGGAGGCAGCAGUGGGGAAUAUUGCACAAUGGGCGCAAGCCUGAUGCAGCGACGCCGCGUGGGGGAUGACGGCCUUCGGGUUGUAAACUCCUUUCGCUAGGGACGAAGCUUUUUGUGACGGUACCUAGAUAAGAAGCACCGGCUAACUACGUG
rnacentral:rRNA from 1 species